UCUUUAUCUGAUUGGCUAGUGCCUUUGUUUGGUUCACCACUGUUUCCCUAGCUUUCUUGUUGCCAUCGCCUUUAGAUUAGCUGAACAGCAUUUGUGUUUGUGUCCUGAUUUUUCGGUUCCAAACUUCACUGCAUUGUUUUCUUGUUUUCUCUCUUUAUUUCUUUCGAUGUGUGUGCCACAGUGAUGGGUUUGAAGAAUGCAUGAUUUAUUUCUUUUGAUUAUCAUGACUUGAAAGAAAACAUCAUCUUGACCGCAGUGCUCUGUUUAUUGCGUAAUAGAUUAAAGUAAUGCAUAUAGAAAUUGGGAAAACAUGCUAGGAAGUGUACUUUUACCUGAUUCAUUUAUUUGCAUAUGACAUUGAGCUUAAUGACUGAAGUGCAAAAUAAUGGGAUGGGGGAACUUGGUAGAGUAACAUGGAGAUUUUUCAUUGUGUAUGACAAAUAUUAAGUUGCAAAUAAAUUUCUUGAAUGCUGGAUUUGAUGAAGAUAAAAGAUCAGCAUACUACUAAACGCAUAACAUGAUAUGAGCCGAAAAGAAGUAUUCGCUGUUUCUGUUCAUCCCCUACUGCCCUUUCCUCUGUUCCUUUUUCUGCUGGCGACCUGUCUGUCCUGUACCUUGUAGGGGCUGGGCUGCCACCACGGUUAUUUAAGAACUCACAUCUAUCAGCACUUCACGACUUGCCAUUUGCCACCCUGCCUCACAUCCAUUGACAUAGGCUAUCCCACAUGUCAGUGAGAUGGGGUGGCAAAUCCUGAACCAGGCAAUCAUAAGAUUGGAAAAUUUAUAGGACAGCCAUUGAAUUGUUGCCUCUAUGAGAUUACUCCAUCCCUCUCCAUGACAUCCUUGCCAGAUGUAUGGUAGAGAGGAUGGCAAGGUUGGUAUUUUGAGAAAUAUGAUGGUUUUCUGGGCUCUGAAAGCUCAUAUAUUCCAACCAAACAUGCCUAUCUGAUCUUGCUUUUGGUGUUUUUGGUUAGUAGGUGAUUAAGGGAUGAAAGCGCUGCGCCAUUGUACUCAACUACUCACCAAUAUCGGAGAUGCUUUCACAUAAAAUUUAGGGUGACAAGCAGCAUACUGUUAGCGUAAUGAAUACAUAUGGUGCUUAUAAUUUUACCCUUUUUUUACAAGCGGACUUUUAGGUGGAGCAGGGAAGAGAUGGGUGAGUUAAAAAAAAUCCACCCUCCACUCAGCUGAAACAAUGUUGGAAUUUGGAAAUCAUGGUGAGGCUUCUACGUACAGGCUGAGGGCAAUUCUAAGCAGUUAGUGAAGAACAGUCUGCAUUCUAGCAGUCACUAUCUUAAAUAUAUUAUUAUUGGAGAGUGAUCAUUUGGCCUAUCUAGGUUUGUUAGAUUAGGUUGCUAUAUUGAGAACCUAAAGGGUGAAAGGAACAUUUGGAAUGUCCACUAUUGCUCAUGGCAUUAACUAGUUCACGGGCCUUCCUCAAACCAUCACACUUCAGAUGCACUGGUAUAUCUAUAUCAAUACUUUAGGCAGUAAUCACGGCCAUAUAAUGAUAGCUACUGGUUGACUUUUGUGAGCUGAAAUUCACUGGGGGCUUCUUUUUGGAUCUGAUUUGGUGGUGACCAACCUUGUAAUGUAUUGCGGUUCAUUAAUCGGUAAACAUUGCUGGGAAGAUAGUUAGAUAGCUGUCAGCUUUGAGGGACAGUAGACUGUAGAUUAGAAAGGGGAUUUCACUACUUCUUUCUUGGUUCCAAAUGGAUCCCCGGCCCCUUCUUUUUUUGAAACUGGAUGCCAGGCCUCCUGCUUAUAUAGAGGUCGAGCUAGCCCUAACCUUAACAACCUAACCUCAUCCCUACUAACUAACCUUAUGGUGACUGGCAGCACUACAAUACCACAACAAUGCUACAGUACUUGGGCAUGCUGCCAUGCCAUGCUGGGCCAAAGGCCCAUGACUCAGCCUGCCCCAUAACAAACCCAAACCAAAGAUUCAGUUUUAUUUGUGGAAACCUGUAAGUAGCAACAUGCACACAGAAUUCUAAUAUUUUACUGCUUUUGAUAUCCCUCAGUUAUAUUUCUGGUAAUGUCACAAGGUGCAUCUUGCUGUAAUCUCCUCAAAUCCAACUGUGCUGCAUUCCUGCUUGGUCAAUGAUGAUGGUUAUUAUGGUUGGCGUUCCAAGAUCUAACUGAACCGCGCCAUGGCAAUCUGAGAUCAGGAAAUGAUAUUUAUGAUACAUAAAUUACUUUAAAGCUUUCUCAUAUAACCUGCACAGUAGGGAUGGCAUCUUUUUUAUGCAGUUAACGUUGUUUACUUAAUUACUGGUCAAGAAAAACUGCCCAAACGACUUUUGGACUACAUAACUUUCCAUGUUUUUCAGUUAAAUUUAAUGUUGAAAACCUUUUGUGGUCCAUCAGGACAAUUUAAGAUAACUUGGAGUGUCAGCACCAUGAUGGCAGGAAGAUAGGUUUAAAGUGGUCUCAUAGCCAAUAUAUCCAUCAGUCAGUGUUGGUUGGAAAGUUAUCUGUCCUCCCAGUCAAAUUAUAUUGAUUUCCACCCAAGUUGAACUAGCUACUUGGUUUUGAAAUUAUUCAGGGUUGUUUUUAAAGAUAAGAUGACUCCUCAGGUAUGAAUUGAUGAGUAUUUCUAUGGAUUUGGGUAGAAAAUAAUGAAUCAAGGCUCCAUAGGUCCUCUUUCUCCCCAGUCUAUUCCUAUCCCUCUCCUCUCUAGAAUCAUGCAUGCUUUUCAGCCGGCACCAUCUUAUUGGAAGGAAUGACAAAAACUGAUACGGCAAGCUGAAAUGAUGAAAUCUCACUUUUUCUGUAAAAUGUUAACAUACUGAUUUCUUGCCAGAAUAUUCCAGUUCGACAUAGUAACUAUAUGUUUUCCCAAUAUACCACUAGACAAGGCCUUCCUGUCUAAUCACCAUAAUUUGUUACUUUAUACCUGAACAUGUUUGAAAAGAUUAUCAAUGAAGUCAGAAGAUUCUUACUUGUUUUGGCUUUUACCGGUGCCCAAUUCAUUAUUGAUAAUUAAUAUUAUGAUAAGAGUUCAUUAAUCCAAUUAUAAUGCUUUAUAUUGGCUGAUCAACCUCUGAAGUUAACAACAACAAGAAACAGUAGGAGGGUGAGAUCCAGAGGCAACAUUCAAAUGCGAAUUGAGAACCCUAUUGAAUGAUACCUAACCAGCCCCUUUGUCCCAGUAAUUAAGGGACUGGCUAGACUGCAAGUCUGUAUGUGCUUAUUGUGAUGAUCCAGUCGCAGUUCUCUAGUGGCUCUUUUGAUUUAGUCCAAAUUUACCAGCAGCUUCAGGUUUGUCAGCAACACUAAAAUAUAUAUUUCUUUCUGAUGUGAUUGGAGGUUUUGAGUAAAGAAUCUUUCUUUAUUUCCUUAGAAGGUUGUUAAAGAAAGAGAAAAUUACAUGUUUGUAUUUUAUUCCAUUCACACACGUUCCCCACCAUCCAGUUUCAUCCUGCAAGUGCAAUGUGGGGAUAAUUAGGAAGAUGUAGAUGGAGGCAAAGGUUUUUAACUUUUCUGUGCCCUACUUCUGUCCUUUUUAUCAAGCCACAUGCCAAGGCAAAAGUUCGCUGCUGAGUGCUGACAAGCCUGCGGGUACCAAGAAUGUUUUCCAAAAACUGUUGCCUUUUUCUGUAGUUCUAAUCUCUCGUUUUCCAUGAGAUGGUUUCAGAGUCACAUUUUAGUUUUUUUAGGACAGGAUUGCCCAGGUGCCACCUAGUGCUGCCCAUCAUUGUCAUCAUUGCUAACCCACUUAUCAGUUCUGCUCAUUGUCCUCGGACAAGCUUGUGGACAGUACCCUUUCCAUCCUUCUGGCAGUUGGCAAUCUGUAGAUCAGCAAAACAUAGUGUAUUGUCUCUACUUUAGACUUUUAAAGCUAUCUAAUAGCAACUGCUAAUUGCCUCA